UUACGGACGUCGAUGACGCACCGCAGACACGCGCAAUGGUAACCGGAAGCAUCGUUGAGAGGAAAAUAAAAAUCGAUCAAAACCCCAGUUGGUCUUGAGGGUAAUUUUCACCAGAUGUCAAUUCUCCGCCGUAGAUUCGCAUUCGAUUGCCCUUAACACUACUGUCGUCGGAAGAAACGGUAGCGUGCAGGAAAAAAACUGCCCCGUUUGACCGAAGUUGCUCGCUAACUGGUUUAGCUGACGUGGGGAGAAGUUGAGACUGCCAGAGAGCAGAGGGACAAACACAAACAAGCUGGGAUCAGCUGAGCGCCUGUCCGAACCGAACCAGCGGCGCGGGGACAUGUCACGGAGUGCGACUUUGCUCUUCCGAGCCCAAGAAUGAUCCACGGGACACGGUGACUUCCACUGAAACUAGCUCCAUGUAGACUAUCAACAGUGGCAACACAAAGAAUUUCGGCAGCACCACACGAGGAUCAGCCAUAAGCAGGAGAAGAACAUCCACGGCUCAUGUCACCACUGUGUGUCACUUUAGCCAAGCACUACCAAUGACUUUGUUGUCCAGUUCUCUGCUGUAACCUCACGAAUACAUAUUACGUUGCAGGAAGACAGAAGUGGGAUGAGCAUGGCCCACCAAGCAACCCCUAGUUCUCAGAAGGCCCUGAUGAUGGAGUUGAAGUCGCUGCAGGAGCAGCCAGUGGAGGGCUUCCGCAUCACUCUGGUUCAUGA